rnacentral:rRNA from 1 species
UGGGGGAUAUUGCACAAUGGGCGAAAGCCUGAUGCAGCGACGCCGCGUGGGGGAUGAAGGCUUUCGGGUUGUAAACCUCUUUCGCUAUCGAACAAGGCCCGCUUAGGGUGGGUUGAGGGUAGGUGGAGAAGAAGCGCCGGCUAACUACGUGCCAGCAGCCGCGGUAAUACGUAGGGCGCGAGCGUUGUCCGGAAUUAUUGGGCGUAAAGGGCUUGUAGGCGGCUUGUUGCGCCUGCUGUGAAAACGCGGGGCUUAACUUCGCGCGUGCUGUGGGUACGGGCAGGCUUGAGUGUGGUAGGGGUGACUGGAAUUCCAGGUGUAGCGGUGGAAUGCGCAGAUAUCUGGAGGAACACCGAUGGCGAAGGCAGGUCACUGGGCCAUUACUGACGCUGAGGAGCGAAAGCAUGGGUAGCGAACAGG